rnacentral:rRNA from 1 species
AAUAUUUGACAAUGGGGGCAAUCCUGAUCCAGCCAUGCCGCGUGUGUGAAGAAGGUCUUCGGAUANUCAAGCACUUUAUGUUGGGGNGAAUGGCUUUAGGCUAAUACCCUGAAGUUUUGACGUUACCAACAGAAUAAGCACCGGCGAACUUUGUGCCAGCAGCCGCGGUAAUACAGAGGGUGCAAGCGUUAAUCGGAAUUGCGGGGCGUAAAGCGCGCGUAGGGGGGUCAGUACAAGUGGUGUGAAAACACCAGGCUUAACCUGGCAACUGCUUUCAUAACAGCUGAGCUAGAGUACGGUAGAGGGUAGUGGAAUUUCCUGUGUGUCGAUGAGAUGCGUAGAUAUAGGAAGGAACACCAGUGGCGAAAGCGACUACCUGGACUGAUACUGACACUGAGGUGCGAAAGCGUGGGGAGCAAACA